UUUCCGUAGGUGAACCUGCGGAAGGAACAUUACCGAGGGAGGUUCUCUCGGGCCCGACCUCCCACCCUGUGUUUUUGUGACUUUGUUGCUUUGGCGGGCCCGCCUCUAUGAGAGGCCGCCGGAAGGUCACCGCUUUGGGCCCGUCCCCGUCAGUAGCCCCCUUAAAUUCUUAAUAAACCUGUCGUCUGAGUUAAUGGAUAUAAUGAAAAAAAACUUUCAACAACGGAUCUCUUGGUUCUG
rnacentral:misc_RNA from 1 species